UUUAUUGGAGAGUUUGAUCCUGGCUCAGGAUGAACGCUGGCGGCGUGCCUAAUACAUGCAAGUCGAGCGAAUGGAUUGAGAGCUUGCUCUCAAGAAGUUAGCGGCGGACGGGUGAGUAACACGUGGGUAACCUGCCCRUAAGACUGGGAUAACUCCGGGAAACCGGGGCUAAUACCGGAUAACAUUUUGAACUGCAUGGUUCGAAAUUGAAAGGCGGCUUCGGCUGUCACUUAUGGAUGGACCCGCGUCGCAUUAGCUAGUUGGUGAGGUAACGGCUCACCAAGGCAACGAUGCGUAGCCGACCUGAGAGGGUGAUCGGCCACACUGGGACUGAGACACGGCCCAGACUCCUACGGGAGGCAGCAGUAGGGAAUCUUCCGCAAUGGACGAAAGUCUGACGGAGCAACGCCGCGUGAG
rnacentral:rRNA from 1 species